rfam:Dipodomys ordii contig_69842, whole genome shotgun sequence.
GGUGACUCAGUGGUAGAGUGCUUGCCUUGCAUGCAUAAGGCCCUGGGUUCGAUUCCUCAGCACCA